rnacentral:rRNA from 1 species
UACAGAGGGUGCAAGCGUUAAUCGGAAUUACUGGGCGUAAAGCGCACGUAGGUGGUUUGACAAGUUGGGUGUGAAAUCCCCGGGCUUAACCUGGGAACUGCAUUCAAAACUAUCAAGCUAGAGUAGAGUAGAGGGAAGUGGAAUUUCCGGUGUAGCGGUGAAAUGCGUAGAUAUCGGAAGGAACACCAGUGGCGAAGGCGGCUUCCUGGACUCAUACUGACACUGAGGUGCGAAAGCGUGGGGAGCAAACAGG